CCGCGCUGCGGCGUGGAGUCCCGGAUGACGCCGGUGCGUGCGGGGUUCGGCGGCCGUUGGCGGCUGCGGAGGCCUGAGGGGCGGUGACGUAACGGUUGGGGCCGUUGGCCGCCCCCGUGCCGCCCACUAGCCGCUUCUGUGCGGCGAGUUGCGUAGUUGCUGUGAAGUAUGGCUCCAUGAGUGAUAGGUUGUAGGAUGUGGACGUCCCCACGGGGAAUCACAUGCACAGGGACAAUGCUGCAGAGGACAGACGAGCCCAUGGGCGGCAGUCCUGGCAGUGUCCAGGCUGGAGGUGUCCCCACUGUCCUCGUGUCAGGAAUAGCUGGAGUCAUGCUGAGGAUGAUGCCAGUAUGCUCAGCGGGGUGGCUGCUGGCCCUGCCUCUGUAAGAAGAUGUCAUGGAUCCAUCAUUGCAGAGGUGGCCUGGGGAGCCGUGGCUCUUUUGAGGACUCACCAGACAAGGCUGUCAGCCCCUAGAUGAAGUUGGAGGCAACAGGAAAGAAGAAAGCCUCUUGGCGAGGACUUCCAAUCUGGCGAAUGUGGGAAUCUGGCCUGUGCGCAGGAACAUUCGCUGUGUGUACAUGGAAUAGGCCAGAGGGACGUGGACUAAAUCCUGCUGCCUAGAAAAGGGAGAAUGGAGGAUUUCGUUGGUUUCAUGCCGAUGCUGGAAGAUCUUAUCCUACAAAUGCUGAUAGUGAAAUGCACCCUUUCUAGGCUUCGCCCUCUCCCCUCCUCCCCCUCCAGGGGUCUGCUAAAGGCAGGGGUUCUCCCAGCCACUCAGGCCUGGCGCCCAGCCUCACCACAGUAGCCACCUCCUGCACUGCUCAGGCUGUAGUGAAGUGGCUCACUUCCUAACCCCUGUCCCUGCAUCACCCCUCCUUAUUCCUGGGACUCAAUCCUUCCAGAUUCCCCUUCUCCCGUGGGACCCCCACCUUCCGCUCCAGUGGCCUUACUUGGUCUCUGUGGUUCCUCGGGAGAGGCCAGGUCUCCCUGGAAUUGGACCUCAUCUCCCAUGAACCAAGAGUGGACAAGGGCUCAGGGUUGUGAACUGGGGUCUGCACUUAGUUCUUCCUUUGUGGCCACCAGGAGGCCUGCCUACCCCUGACCUCAGGGUGGUCCAAGCCCUGGCAUCAGGUGGCCCUUGCAGGGUCAGGCAGGAGAGCUUGGGACACAGGCCUAUUGCCCUUCGGGGUCAGAACCACGUGCGUCCCACCACCUGAGAGGCAGGCAGCACCAGGUGACAGGUAUGGCUCCAUCCACACUGACUGCAGACCGUGGUCAUGGAGACCCUCGGCUCUGCACUCGACCUUCCUGCUGUUUCUGUGCUUCCCCCAGUUCUUAAGCAUCUUGACCACUCAUUGCAUCAUCUGGACUGACACUUCUGCUGAAAAUGAGAGACGAUGGACAUAGCUGAGCUGCUGGCCUUUCUAGAGCAGCCCUCGGAGGCUCCAUUGCUGUCAUGCUUGGGGGCCCUGAUGUGACUGAACUGGGAGGAGCCAGAAAAGGCUUAGACCCAGGGCUGAGACCCUCUGACCAGACAGUACCAGAGGCCUGGCCUCAUGACCCUGGGACAUACAUUCUCAGGCCAUAGACCCCCAGGCUCAGGUGGGUCCUGACAGCCAGCGGCCAGCCACCCUGAGCUGCAGGCGUGGUUCUGGGGCCUGUGAGUUUGGUCUCAAACUCUGGGUCAGCUCCUGCAGGACUCUUAGCUUCUCCUGGUGACUGUGUGUGGCUCCCAAGGAUCACCACCUCUGCUCACAGACCAGUCCUGUCUGCAUCACAGACUACCUGCCAAGUCCCUCAUCUACUUACCAGCCUCCUCACAGCAGGGACAAGCUCUUAUUUGCCUCCAGGGCACUAACAUGGGGCAGCUCCAUGUCACUGGAAGGCAGCAGAGGCAGAAUUGAGGGCUGUGCCAGGCCAGCAGCUGUCCCCCUCCCUGAGCAGUCCCCAGGGAAGGGCCAGCCACCUUCCUGUCCCCACAAGUCUUAGCCCGGGAGACCACAGGGGAGGGGCAGAUGGGGCCUUCCUGCUGGCUGACACCCAGGAAGGCGUAGGACACAGGAGAAGAGGGAGAGCAGGGCUGGGCAGGGCUGCUUGGGGUCCAUGGGGGGCUCGGGCUGCACAACCCAGCUUCUUCUCCUGGGCUCCAGGCAGUGCCGUCUGUGGGAGCUAGAAAGUCCAGUCCUGAGGGGGUGGUGCUGCCCAAGGUGGGUGGGCUGGGACCUGACAGUAGCCCCCCAGAAAGUGAGUCCUCACCCAGAUGGGGUUCAGGGGCCUGUCCUGAGAACUUCCCGGUGCAGCAAGGGUGUACCUGGGAGCUGUCCCACCUGGUACCCUGUCCCCUGACCAUCCACCUGCCUCUCCCUGCACCCCGGCUGCCAAGACCGCCUCUUCAUCCGACAUCACCCCAUCCCAGAUCCUGUGCCGUUUCCUCAGCCACGCUGGCCCUUUUUCUAUCCCUGUCCUGUCAGAACCCCGGAGCAGACCCCCAUGUCAAGUUUCUAACCAGGCUGCUGAACACCACUGGGGAGAUGCCAGUGGUGGUGAGCAGUGACCAAGAGUCCUGCAGGCUCCAGGAUCGCCCAUGGCUGCAUCCCCAGUCACAGCUACACUCAGGGCCAUCAGCCCCCAGCCUCCUCUUUCUCACUACAGUGGACACAACACAGGCACAUGGCUCCAUCUCACACUGUCCUGCCCCAACUCAGCAUCUCCCAUCCGCCUUGCACCUGUGGUGUUGACUAAGCGAGUCAGGAACAGAGUCACUGGAGGGCACUACAAAGGCCUUGGGACUGACUGAAGUCCCCCGAGGCUCAGGGGUCCCAGGGGAGCUACUGCCUUGGCCCUGCCACAUCUAGGUUGUGCUCCCCUUGCCCCUUCACCCCCGCCAAGGCCUGCUCCACCCACAUACAUCCCUGAGUGUCUUGUGCCAUCUGGUCACCUGCCCCAGCGUCCUCCCCUCUCCAUCCUGUGAUCACUGUGGGGACAGACUCCAUGCUGGGUUCCUCCCCACCAGGCCCCAGAUCCCCUCCCAGUACCAGGCAAGGGGUCAGGUGGCCUUUAGCUGCGGCCUCAACUUCCCCCUAUGGCUUCCCCUGAGGUCCCCAGGUUGGGGCCUGGCCUCUUGCUGACCCUUGUACUCUUUGUGGUGCUGUUCAGCUGAGCACCCUGAGCCCUGGGAGGCCUGCUGGACAGCUGCCCACAGGGUGGGCCACAUGCUUCCUUGCCCUGUGGCCCCACUCUGCAAGCAGCCGGGACAGGCUUCUUUGGGGACAGACCCGAGCCACAGGCUGCCCUGUACCCUGUGCAUACUUGGAGACCACACUGCUGAGUGCCCAAGGGCCUGGCCCAGCUCUAGCUCCAUCCCCACCCAUUGCCCAGAGGUCCCACAGCUCUGGUGUAAUGCUAACCAGGGGCUCGACUUGUAAGGGAGGUGCUCACAAGUCCUGAGCCUGGGAAGGAGGGUGGCUCGAGUCUGGAAGACAUGUCCUGCCUCAUACAGGCAUUCCCCAAAAUGGAAUCUCACCCUGAGAUGAGACUGGGGGUGACAGAACUCACUGCAGAAACUGGAGGUGGUUAGUAACUUUGUAGAUGUGUUGGGGUCUAAAAAGUGACUUUUUAGAAAAGCUGGAAUGUGCUUAUUUACAGAAGGCCCCUGAGAGUUGGUUUAGUGGUUAAUUAGUUGUUUGCAUCUUCAGCCUCUGUAACCCUGCGGCCUACCUGUUUUGGAGAAGCUGCCUGCUAAAUUUACAAAGUUCCCCUAACCAUACUUCCUGCUUCUGUACAGCUGCUUGAUUAGACCCCCAGUUUGUGUGACCCUGCCUGGAGACAGGCAGGGCCAAUGAAAAGCUUGUCUGCCUGCUCAAGAAAAGUAUAAAACUAUAGCUCUCCCUGCAUUCAGGGUCCCAGAAUUUUGGAAUGUGAGUUCACCUGGGUCCCACUAGUGUAAUAAAC